AUGUACACAAAAGCGUCAACAAAAAUUGUAUUAAACAACAUUGCCAAAGCAUAUCGGGGUAACGUCAUUGAACAAGUUAAUGCGAUUUUCCAACUGACUACUUUUAAGACUGCGCAGCAUGGCUUUCCACACAAACCUUCAGCUCUGGCAUACGAUCCUGUUGCAAAGCUCAUGGCGAUUGGCACACAAACAGGUGCCAUAAAAGUAUUUGGUCAACCCGGAGUGGAGUUAUAUGCCCAGCAUACGUUGGUCAAUAAUUCGGCAGCGGAGCUCAAUGUUCAGUUGCUAGAGUGGGUUUACGGCACUGGCCGCAUACUUUCGUUGACAGCAGCAAAUCAGCUGAUCCUGUGGGAACCAGUAGGCACUACACUGGUACCAAUCAAAACAUUGCCGUUUGACGGAAAACUUAAGAAGGUCUCCUCGCUCUGCUGUUCCCUGAAUAAAGAUUUACUGUGGAUAGGAACGGAAGGCGGAAAUAUCUAUCAGCUCGAUUUAAAAUCUUUCACAAUACGAGAACCAGUCAUCUACCACGAUGUCGUUCUGGAGCAAGUGCCCCCGACUUACAAGCUCAAUCCAGGGGCAAUUGAGUCUAUUCGACAGCUUCCAAAUUCAUUGAAUAAACUCCUAAUUGCCUACAAUCGUGGCCUAUGCGUGCUUUGGGAUAUGCAAACAUCUGCCGUAGAGCGCGCAUACAUUGCACCGGGACAUGGACAAAGCGUGGGGCUUUCUGUUAAUUCAACUGGAACUGAAUUUAGCUGGUAUCAUGCGGACGGUUCGUACGCAACGUGGAGCAUAGAUAAUGGAGAACCGCCACAAAAUGUAAACUAUGUACCAUAUGGGCCCGAUCCUUGCAAGAGCAUUAAUCGCCUUUACAAGGGCCAGAGAGGCACCAACGACGUGAUCGUUUUUUCCGGCGGCAUGCCGCGUUCAGCGUAUGGGGAUCAUAAUUGCGUUUCAGUACAUGUCAGCGAUGGACACAAAGUAUGUCUCGACUUUACAUCUAAGGUUAUAGACUUUUUUGUUACGUACAAGGAGGGAAGUGACGACGUUGAAGUACUGAUUGUUUUGCUGGAAGAAGAGCUGUGCGCAUACGACCUGACCGACCCUAGUAUUUUGUCAAUCAAGGCUCCCUAUCUCCAUUCAGUGCAUGCGUCAGCUGUGACAUGCAACUAUCUUGCCUCUCAAGUCACCCAGGGAGUGUACGAACGUAUUUUACGAGCAGGAGAUGAACAAGAUAUCGACUACAGCAGUAUUGACUGGCCCAUCACCGGCGGCGUGUUGACCGACGAUUCAGUUGAAUCUGAUGAGGACGAAGUGGUGAAAGAUUACGAAAUACUUUUAACAGGUCACGAGGAUGGGUCGGUUAAAUUCUGGGAUUGUACUGGAGUCCUGCUUAAACCUAUAUACAAUUUUAAAACGGCAAGCAUUUUUGGGAACGAGCAUGAAUACCGGGAAGAUGGAGCUGCCGACAUAAGUGCAGAACAACUUGACGAAGGAGAACCACCAUUUCGUAAGGCUGGUUUGUUUGACCCUUACUCUGAUGACCCGCGAUUGGCCGUUAAAAAAAUAGCAUUUUGCCCCAAGACAGGCCAGUUAGUUGUGGGUGGAACUGCCGGCCAAAUUGUUAUUGCUGAUUUCGACACUGCUGCCGAGGAUCAAAGUUCUCUAAAGUAUAACUCUAUGAACUUGGUCAGCGACCGCGAUGGUUUCGUAUGGAAGGGACACGAUCAGCUCAAUGUUCGCGCCAAUUUGUUAGAGGACAAUGCAGUCCCAUUGACCGAAAAUGGGGUUAAUAUAACGGGAGUACUUCAAGUUCUUCCACCCGCAAGCAUCACUUGCAUGGCCCUGGAAGCUAAUUGGGGCCUUGUGUCCGGUGGAACAGCGCAUGGAUUAGUACUGUUUGACUUCAAAAACUUUGUUCCGGUGUUCCACCGCUGCACAUUAAAUCCAAAUGACCUAACUGGAGCUGGCGAGCAAUUGUCCCGUCGUAAGUCGUUCAAAAAAUCACUGCGAGAGUCAUUUCGAAAGCUCCGAAAGGGUCGAUCUACACGAAACAAUCCAACCAACCAGGUGCCCACUACGUUGGAAGCGCGUCCUGUUGAGAGGCAAAUAGAGGCACGUUGCACCGACGACGGCUUGGGAUCCAUGGUGCGAUGCCUACUGUUCGCUAAAACUUAUGUCACCAACGUCAACAUAACAUCGCCGACUUUGUGGUCAGCUACAAACGCUAGUACCGUUUCUGUUUUCCUCCUACACUUACCACCAGCGCAGACCGCCGCAACCACUGUACCACCCGCAAGUGGAAAUGUACCACCGCAGGCAUCCCGUCGUAUUUCUGCGCAGCUUGCAAAAGAGAUUCAGUUAAAACAUCGUGCUCCUGUUGUGGGAAUAUCUAUUUUUGAUCAGACAGGUAGCCCUGUCGAUCAAUUUAAUGCUGGAGAAAACGGUUCGCCUCCGCAUCGCCUACUGAUCGCCUCCGAAGAACAAUUCAAAGUAUUUUCGCUGCCGCAAUUAAAACCAAUAAAUAAGUACAAGUUAACGGCGAACGAAGGGGCUCGCAUACGUCGAAUUCACUUUGGAUCAUUUAGCUGUCGCAUAUCGCCGGAACUAUUGCAAAGUCUUCAUUCCGGCAGUCCAACCAAGUCCGUACGUUCCCAUGGCGAGGGCGAUGGCGCUGGAAAUGUGAGCGCUACGUCAGCUGCUGGACGCGGUGACUUGUACCAUGAGAUGGCGCUGAUUUGUCUGACUAACAUGGGAGAUAUUAUGGUUUUAUCAGUCCCUGAGCUAAAGAGACAACUGAAUGCUGCUGCCGUGCGACGUGAAGAUAUCAACGGCAUUUCUUCGCUCUGCUUCACCAAUGACGGAGAAGCUCUGUACAUGAUGUCCUCUUCAGAACUGCAGCGCAUCGCUCUCUCUACUUCUAAAGUGGUACAACCUACAGGCAUUGUGGAGGUUGAACCGUUAGAGAGUGAGGACAACGAGACCGCAUCGCUGGUGAACGACGGCAAUGAAAGCGAUAAGGAUGGCGAAGCAAAUAAAGAACUCGCAAAUACUGCCUCAGACACACAACCACCAGUGGCUACGCUACGCGCCAAACCGCUAGAGCUGAACGCUGAUAGAAGUAGUCUCCACCUAACUAACGGGAUUAGCAAUAGCAACUCACCCAACCGUGCCAAUGAGACUAUCACAAGCUCUAUAGGUGACAUCACCGUUGACUCUGUCCGCGACCAUUUAAAUACAACAACCACCACAUUGUGUUCUACAACUACAGAGGAGACUGUUGAUCUGCAACAGUAAUUGUACAACCGACACAUAAUCCAGUCCAAUUUGUAAUAUUAAAGCUGCCCACUAUUUAUUUCUACAAUCUUCACACAAUUUUAAGUGGUUUUGCAUGCCCUAUGUCGAUUAUCUGUGCUUAGCACGCAAACGAACCAAGCCACUACUACCGUGAACAUGAAGGACAUUCCCGACAUUAACAUACCUAAUUUAAU
rnacentral:misc_RNA from 1 species